rnacentral:rRNA from 1 species
UACAGAGGGGGCAAGCGUUAUUCGGAAUUAUUGGGCGUAAAGGGCGCGUAGGCGGCUUGGCAAGUGGAUGGUGAAAUCCCUCGGCUUAACCGAGGAACUGCCGUCGAAACUGCUUUGCUUGAGGCCGGGAGAGGUGAGUGGAAUUCCAGGUGUAGCGGUGAAAUGCGUAGAUAUCUGGAGGAACACCGGUGGCGAAGGCGGCGUCCUGGACCAACACUGACGCUGAUGAGCGAAAGCCAGGGGAGCAAACGGG